GUCAAGUACAAAGAGCAUCAGGAGGAUGCCUUGGCACUAGGAGCCGAAGAAAGACGUGAUAAGCUGCGAAAAGCUGCGGGAAGGAGCACAUAUCCGAUGAUCCGCAGAUUUCUGAAUGGGGGAACCCACCUGUGGUAAUGCGCAGGUAUCAUUACAUGAAUACAUAGUGUAAUGAGGGGAACGCGGGGAACUGAAACAUCUAAGUACCCGUAGGAAGAGAAAGAAACAUCGAUUUCCAAAGUAGCGGCGAGCGAAAUGGAAAGAGGCCAAACCAGCUGCUUGCAGCUGGGGUUGCGGACCACUUAAAAACGCGAGGAUAUUGAUAGCCGAACAUAUCUGGAAAGAUAGACCGAAGGGGGUAAAAGUCCUGUAGGCGAAAUCGAGAAGGCGCGAAGUGGCACCAGAGUAGGACCGGGCACGUGGAACCCGGUUUGAAGCAGGAGGGACCACCCUCCAAGCCUAAAUACUACCUAGUGACCGAUAGCGAAUAGUACCGUGAGGGAAAGGUGAAAAGAACCCCGGGAGGGGAGUGAAAUAGAAACUGAAACCUGAUGCUUACAAGCGAAGGGAGCGAAAGUGACCUUGUACUUUUUGUAGAACGGGCCAACGAGUUAUGGUAUGCAGCGAGGUUAAGUACCUGGAGGUACGGAGCCGUAGGGAAACCGAGUCUUAAUAGGGCAAAAGUUGCAUGCUGUAGACCCGAAACCGGGUGACCUAUCCAUGAGCAGGUUGAAGUAACUGUAAAAGGUUAUGGAGGACCGAACCUAUAUCUGUUGAAAAAGGUUAGGAUGACUUGUGGAUAGCGGUGAAAUUCCAAUCGAACUCGGAUAUAGCUGGUUCUCCUCGAAAUAGCUUUAGGGCUAGCCUCAAGGUGAGAUACACGGGGGUAGAGCACUGACUGUUCGCGGGGCCUUCACCGGUUACCAACAACUAUCAAACUCCGAAUACCGUGCUAUCAUACUUGGGAGUCAGACUAUGAGAGAUAAGUUCCAUGGUCGAAAGGGAAACAGCCCAGAUCAUCAGCUAAGGUCCCAAAGAGUAAGUUAAGUGGAAAAGGAUGUGGAAUUGCAUAGACAGCUAGGAUGUUGGCUUAGAAGCAGCCAUUCAUUCAAAGAGUGCGUAAUAGCUCACUAGUCGAGUGAUUCUGCGCCGAAGAUAAACGGGGCUCAAACUUACCACCGAAGCUAUGGGAUGUAGAAAAUACAUCGGUAGAGGAGCAUCGUAUACGGGCAGAAGGUAAACUGUAAAGUUUGCUGGACUGUAUACGAGAGAGAAUGUUGGCAUGAGUAGCGUAAGGCGGGUGAGAAUCCCGUCCGCCGAAAAUCUAAGGUUUCCUGAGGAAGGUUCGUCCUCUCAGGGUAAGUCGGGACCUAAGCCGAGAGCGAAAGCUGUAGGCGAUGGACAACAGGUAGAUAUUCCUGUACCACCAAAGAUUGUUUAAGCGAAGUGGGGACACAGAAGGAUAGGUUGAGCACGCCGUUGGUCGAGCGUGUCCAAGCAGUGAGGCUGUUAAGUAGGCAAAUCCGCUUAACGAAAGGCUGGGCUGUGAUGGGGUGGCGAGUAAGCCGGUAGCAACUGAUUUCACGCUGUCAAGAAAAGCCGCUAGUAAGAUCUAAGGUGCCCGUACCGCAAACCGACACAGGUAGAUGAGGAGAGAAUCCUAAGGUGAGCGAGCGAACUAUUGUUAAGGAACUCGGCAAAAUAACCCCGUAACUUCGGGAGAAGGGGUGCCUGCGAAAGCAGGCCGCAGUGAAGAGGUCCAGGCAACUGUUUACCAAAAACACAGGUCUCUGCUAAAGCGAAAGCUGAAGUAUAGGGGCUGACGCCUGCCCGGUGCUGGAAGGUUAAGGGGAAGUGUUAGGGCAACCGAAGCACCGAACUUAAGCCCCAGUAAACGGCGGCCGUAACUAUAACGGUCCUAAGGUAGCGAAAUUCCUUGUCGGGUAAGUUCCGACCCGCACGAAAGGCGUAAUGAUUUGAGCACUGUCUCGACAAUGCAUCCGGUGAAAUUGAAGUACCAGUGAAGAUGCUGGUUACCUGCGCCAGGACGGAAAGACCCCAUGGAGCUUUACUCCAGCUUGAUACUGGGAUUCGGUAUUGCAUGUACAGGAUAGGUGGGAGGCUAGGAAAUGGUAACGCCAGUUGCCAUGGAGCCAAUGUUGGGAUACCACCCUUGCAGUACUGGGUUUCUAACCAGCAGCCGUGAUCCGGCUGGGGGACAAUGUCAGGUGGGGAGUUUGACUGGGGCGGUCGCCUCCGAAAGGGUAUCGGAGGCGCUCAAAGGUUCCCUCAGAAUGGUUGGAAACCAUUCGAAGAGUGCAAAGGCAGAAGGGAGCUUGACUGCGACACCGACGGGUGGAGCAGGUACGAAAGUAGGACUUAGUGAUCCGGUGGUAUAAAGUGGGAUUGCCAUCGCUCAACGGAUAAAAGCUACCCUGGGGAUAACAGGCUUAUCACUCCCAAGAGUUCACAUCGACGGAGUGGUUUGGCACCUCGAUGUCGGCUCAUCGCAUCCUGGGGCUGUAGUAGGUCCCAAGGGUUGGGCUGUUCGCCCAUUAAAGCGGCACGCGAGCUGGGUUCAGAACGUCGUGAGACAGUUCGGUCCCUAUCUGUUGCGGGCGUAAGAGAUUUGAAGGGAGCUGUCCUUAGUACGAGAGGACCGGGAUGGACAUACCUCUGGUGCACCAGUUGUUCUGCCAAGGGCAUAGCUGGGUAGCUAAGUAUGGAAGGGAUAAGUGCUGAAAGCAUCUAAGUACGAAGCCCCCCUCAAGAUAAGAUUUCCUCCGAAAGGUAAGACUCGUGGGAGACUACCACGUAGAUAGGCCAGAAGUGUAAGUGUGGUAACACAUUCAGCUGACUGGUACUAAUCGGUCGAUCACUUGACCAA
rnacentral:rRNA from 1 species